ACGAGUGCCUCAAGCGUUAUCCGGAAUCAUUGGGCGUAAAGGUUGUGUAGGUGGUUGUAUUAGUCUCUUGUUAAAUUCUUCGGCUUAACCGGGGGCAUGCAAGGGAAACGGUACAACUCGAGGAUGCGAGGGGUCUGCGGAACUCAUAGUGUAGCGGUGAAAUGCGUUGAUAUUAUGGGGAACACCAAAAGCGAAGGCAGCUGACUGGAGCACUCCUGACACUGAAACAAGAAAGCGUGGGUCGCGAAUGGUA
rnacentral:rRNA from 1 species